CUCGGGAGUUUUUCAGUUAAAACAAUUAACCUUGGCUCAAAACAGGUUGAAAAACACUGAUCUAGACAAUCUCAUGAAUAUAUUUUCAGAAGUUACAGCCUUGAUUUAAUCUGUCACUGAGUUACGCUGACAGAAACACAACAAGUCCAAAGUCACCUUAUGCCAAACUGAACAUCAGCCACUAGAGGGAGACUGUUCAGCGCUGCAGUCAGUCCAACACAGGCAGGAAGCAGCAGUGAGUCCGACUCUACAGGAGCAGCUGGGAGUUUCAUGGCGGUGCUGAUGACAUCUGUGUCCUUUCUGCUGCACCUGGCUUCAUCUGCAGCGGAGAGACGAAGCCACCGGAUCCACCCGGGUUUCUGUGGACGGAGUUCUGGCUGAACAACGAGCCUCUGCACCAGCUCACCUCCAGAGUCACCUGGGCAGACCACAAGUUUACAUACACCUGGCUAAAGAGACACGCCCACUUUUUAUUCCACCUGUCUGGAGUUAAAUAACGACUCUGGGUUCAGGACAAGCCUCAAGAAAGUUUCUCUCUGUAGUUUUCUGGCAGUUCCUCCUGUGGCCAAACAGCCCCGCAGCAUGAUGCUGCCACCGCCAUCCUUCACAGUUAUGGUGCAGGAACUACGACCUGCACAUCGACCCGGAGGACCGGGAACCAGAACUUCACCGAGUACCAGAACUUCAGACGAUCAGGAGGUUUCAGAUUAAAACCUCGGCACCGUUUACACCAGAUCUUCAGUUUUAUAGACAAUGGUGUCAACAAAAGUUAAUUAUUUUUUAACUUUAAUAUUUUCUGUAAAUAUUCAGCAUAAAU